AUAGUGACGUCACAUUGCACGAUUUCCCAAUGAUACAUGUUCAAUCAAUUGUCAAAAUGCAAGCAGAAGUUCAUAACAAAUCAGUUGCCAGUGAACUUUGAGAAGGCAUACACGAAAAAAUCAGAUUAUUUAUAAAGACGAAAAUCGGUCACAUUUAUUUCGGUCAGAAUAAAAUUCGAACCAGUGGUUGGAACAUCCGCUCGAAGCGUCUGCGCCAGUGACAUUGCUGAACAGUUUUGUCAACUACAAUGUCUGUUCUGCAAGAUGACUAUGACCAGGGGGGCAUUGCAACUGGAGGGUACAGUAUGGGUACCGGAUGUGACAUCUUCCAGCGCCUGAAUGCCAUGCUGGACAACACCCUUGAUGUGACCAACCUUGCUGCCCUAACCAAGGAUCAAACCUCGCACCACUCUGCAAUGAAUCCUCUGUCUCACAUGCUGGGCCCACACAGUCAGCAGGGCAUGAACCACCAUAUCUCUACAGCCACUGGCUACCAUGACAAUGCAUACUCCAACCAGACCUCUAAUCAAUUCCCAGGUUUCCAGCUGUUCUACCCAAACCAAGGCAGCCAACAGUACCAGGGCUACUCCCACUACAAGACUGACCCGUCCUACCAGUCAUUUGGUCAGCUGAAGCAGCAGGACAUGUACAGCGGUCAGCUGAAGCAGCAGGACAUGUACAGUGGUCAGCUGAAGCAGCAGGACAUGUACAGUGGACAGCUAAAGCAGCAGGACAUGUACAGUGGUCAGCUGAAGCAGCAGGACAUGUACAGUGGUCAGCUUAAGCAGCAGGACAUGUACAAUGGUCAGCACUCACAGCCGUUCAGCAAGCUGCUAGCAGAGAGCACCAUGUUCAAGAUGGAUGGCAAGCCUUCCACAGACACGCCUCAAAAGUCCUCACGAGCUAUUAGAGGCUCACCUGGAUACAGCGAUUACGAGUCCAGUUCCGGCACGCCUGGAACCCCUGGGACCCCUCUCAAUGAGACCCUGUCACCCAUAGAACAGAUAUUUGGCCUGAUGUCCGGUAACCGGGGCCAGGGGCCAUCCACAAGGAGCAACUCCCCCUAUGACUCUGACACCAGUGGCUUCAGCAGCGAGGGCUCAGAGGCUGCUCUCCUGGAUAUGAUGAGCACACUUAAGUUGGGCAACCGCGAGGGAAAGUCUCCGAUCAAUGACCUGUCCAAGCAGCUGUACACUGCCCAGCAGCAACAACAACAGCACCAGCAGGCGGCCCUUCAACAGCAGCAGCAACAGCAGUACGCUCAACAGCAGCUACUUCAGUACCAGGCCCAACAGGUUGCCCAGGCUCAACUCCAUCACCAGCCCACUGCCAGUCUGGGAUUUACAUCUGACCCGCAGGUGCUAGGUAACCGUGUGUCCGGUCAGGUGAUGCGACCCUAUGUGAUUGCCAAUCUUGACCCCUACGCCAUUGACCGGGCCGCUAGACUGCACAGAUCUGCUGCAGGAAAUGCAAUGAGUGAGGCCAGCUGUACAUGGAGUGGCAAGAUUCCCCCAAAGAACUACAAGAGUCCCACUACGUUCUCCUGCAAGGUGUUCUUGGGAGGCGUGCCCUGGGACAUCACCGAAGCUGGGCUGCAGGCAGCUUUCAACAAGUUUGGAUCCUUCAAGAUUGAGUGGCCAGGACGUGACGGAUAUGUGUACCUGCUGUUUGAAUCGGAGAAGGCAGUGCGUCUGUUGCUACAGGAGUGUACCCAUGACUACAGCACUGGAGAGUACUACUUCAACAUCUCCAGUCGUAGAAUGAGGUCCAAGGAGGUGCAAGUUAUCCCGUGGAUGUUGAGUGACAGCAACUUUGUACGCCAGCCGUCACAGCGACUUGACGCCAACAAGACCGUGUUUGUGGGAGCCCUUCACGGAAUGAUCUCCGCCGAGAUCCUGUCUAUCAUCAUGAAUGAUCUCUUUGGAAAUGUUGUCUACGCCGGCAUCGACUCUGAUAAACACAAGUAUCCUAUUGGCAGUGGCCGUGUGACCUUCAGUAGUCGCCGUAGUUACAUGAAGGCCGUUCAGGCAGCCUUUGUGGAGAUCAAGACUCCAAAGUUUACCAAGAAGAUCCAGAUUGACCCAUACCUGGAGGACAGUAUCUGCACAGUGUGCAACCUGCAGCCUGGGCCGUAUUUCUGUCGAGAUCUGCAGUGCUUCAAGUACUUCUGUCGCACCUGCUGGUACUGGAAACACGACGCAGAUGCCAUGAGGAGCCAUAAGCCUCUCAGCAGGAACACCAAGGGACAUGCCAGCCUGGGGGUCCUCUAGCAAGGGUAAGAAAUUCAGAUCAGCAUUUGUCUACAACAACUCUCAAUGUCUAGCUGACAUGAAGACCUAGCUGGGCGCUGUAUUGGUGCUAGUUGGGUCAAGGUCACUAGAUUCUCCUUAGAAACUAAAAGAAAUCAAGAUAAUGUCAUGGAACUAUAAAAUUUGUUUCAGCUCCUGUGACUUCCUGCCGCCAUCGAAGACUACUGGAUGAUUUCAAUCUAAAUUAAUGACCUAACGAAUGGCCAAUGGACAAUCGAUAACAAUCGUGUGCUGACACUGUCAGAACAAAGUUAACAAGUUAUCAUAAAAAAGUGUGAUGUUAUAUCUGUCAGGGUAAUGAUUGUUAAUUUGCAGCUCACAGCAAGUGGGCUUGUGUAAAGUGCUUGUAUUUAGGCCAUUUCAGGCCACCACUUAUUUGUUGAAUUGUGUGUAAUAAUCUAUAUGUCUUUCAUUAUUGUGUUUGUCUUUCUGUCAUUGAUCAUUCAUAUGUGAUUAUUUUUUAUGGUAAUUUGAUUUUUAGGCAUAGCAACAGUAUCCUGAUUGUGUUACAUACUUUUUGAUUGGAUAACAUCGCUUUCUCACCACACUUUGAUCCCUGAAUACUUUCCGGCAUCAUAAAACUGUUGUUAUAUAUAUAGCCGAUGGCCCUUUUUGAACUGUGAUAAUGUUUGUUUUUUUAAUUGUUUGGAGAAAACAUUUAACCAAACAUGUUCUCAAUUUCAUUAUUGAAUUUGUUUUCCAGCAUUGUUUAUGCUUGUUUUUUGUAUUAUUCUGUGCCUUUCCAAUUCAUUGCCAUAGCAUGUAUUGAUGCAAGGCUUCUGUGUUUACAAUAUCGUGUUUGUCUGAUUUCACACUUAGUUGUGUGAAUAAGUUUGUAGUUUUGAACACUUGCCUUACUUCAUGUAUUUGUGUAUAUGUGUAUUUAUGUUGGUCUUCACUUUGUACAUCUAUUGAGGAAGCAUUGGGGAUACUCGGAGCCUACAGACUUUGGUCCUUCACACAUCUAACUUACCUUAUUUUGGGAGGCAUACAAAUAUAUGUUUUUUUCAAAGCCCUCACAUUUUCAGACGCACCAUUUGGGGAGUCGUUUUUUUUACAACUUCAUUUUUUUGAGAGUUCCCUGCAGUAAAAAACUUAUUUUGUAAGGGUCUGACUUGGAUUAUUUGUGCAGUUUGAAAACCGAACUGCUUGAUAAAGGCAUGUAGAUACCAUGUUGCCUUGGAUGUUAUUAAGUUAUUUAUGUCUGUGACAUUGAAUGCAAUCAAGUUAAUUACCAUAUGACUUUGUUGCUAUGUUCUAAUACGGCGGGUGAGUAAUUUUCCAUUGCUUCCGCUACCAGAUCUGUUUAUCUUGCUGUCAAUCCGUCUCUUGUUUUGUCCUGUGUAUGUACCAGUCUUGUCACAUCCACUGUUUCUUGUUUUCAGGAGAAAAUUAAUGUAUUUUGCUUUGGUUAAUCUAUUCACUAUUUUUUAUUUGUAUAUAUCGAUGAUGAUAUAGGUAAUGAAACUAUAGCCCAUAUUAGACAAAGAACAUUGUACCAGAUAAAGGUAAUUUCAGUGCUGAUUUUCUUUCUACAUUUUUUUUUGAAAUUGUCGAUGGUUGAUUGCUUUUGUUUUAAAUAUACUUGUAUUAGCUUUUAUCCUUUGAUUAGGUUAUAAUCUAGUAGUUGAGAAAAAUCAAUUUUCAGUUUGAUUUUCGUGUGUUAAUAAGUGUCUUAACAUAAAUUUUUAUCAGUUAAUAAUUCAUAUACAUAAAGAAUUUUAGUACUGAAAUCAGUAAGUAAAUGUUUUUUAGAAACAAAUUUUUUCUUUGCAUUGAGCAUUGUGGCCAUACCAUGUAAAUUUUGCUAGUGUGAAGUAAAAUUAGCUCCAAUAAAAAAACUGUGCAUCUUAUUCUGAACUUGGAUUUUAACAAAAUAAAGCUCUUGCUACGAGAAAAAUUAACCCCACCCUUGCUUAUAGAUAUAUUCGUCACCAGAUCGAUAGUCUUUUCUAUGAUUCAUGGCAAAUAUUUGCCAUCACAGCACAUCAUUUGCCUUGAAUGAUAGGCAAAUUCAUAAAAUAGUGACAAUGGUUAGAGUUCACUUUUCCCCAAAACACGAGCUUAAUUUUGACAAAAUCAAGAUGAGAAUAAUAUACUUACAAAGUUUUUUAACUAUAAAGCUGAGAAAAAAGUAUGUCCACACUCUAAAGGCUGAAAAUAUUUAUUUUUCAAUUUAAAUUUUUAUAGUUUUUUAAUUUUGCAAAAAUUGAAUUUUAUAUAAAUUCAUUGUUGAUUUUUGUGUGUGAAUCUAUUGCAAUUAAAAACAUCUUUAAAAUCUCAUUAAAAACUUCCAUUUAUGACUCAAUAUAAAAAAGUCAUUAAAUUAAGUGAUUUCAAUUUUAGUAAUAUUUUGUAUAAAUGUUUUAUUCUUAUUUAUUAACAAUGACCCUUGGUGUAUCCGCCAAUUAUUUCGUCAAAUAAUUUCCCUUCAUAAAACAUUAUUUAUGAUAACAAUUUUCCUAAGGUAAACAAUGUUAUGGAUUCCUAAAUUUUCAAAAACCUGUAUACAAAAUAACUGCAUUAAAUACAUUAAGGGUCCUAUGUUAGAAUCUGAUAUUUUAAUCGGCACGAAGAUGCAAUCUGAGUAAUGGUAUUAUUAUUAUAAUUGGUUUGUGUUAUAUCAAUGAUAUAUAAAAUAAUUUACUUUUUAGACAAUCAGUCUUGCCUUGAUGGUAAUGUUUGUUUUAUUAUCGGAACGGCUUCUGUGCUCGUUCCUAUAUUUUACUUCCAAUAAUGGCUUAAUUAUUGAGCCUUUCGAGUUUUUUAAUCUCACAAGUAUAUAUAACUAAGCUUUUAGCAACAUCACAAGUGAACAUUUUAGUUUUUGGUUUGUCCUGAACAUUUCAGUUCUCAAUCAUGAAAACACAGGCAGUGUUGUAUAUUUUACCCUUUUUCAGACUUUAUGACCUUGGCAAGAAAUGUUUGCAGUUUUUAUAAUGCCAAAGUGUAUGAGAUACAUACAAGAGACUAUUGCUAGUGUACAUAGCUAUUUUGCCCGUUUUCUCUGGGAUCUGUCUUCUAUUAUCUUGCUUUCUUUCUAUAGCUCUU